rnacentral:rRNA from 1 species
GACGAACGCUGGCGGCGGGCUUAACACAUGCAAGUCGAACGGAAAGGCCCUGCUUUUGUGGGGUGCUCGAUUGGCGAACGGGUGAGUAACACGUGAGUAACCUGCCCUUGACUUUGGGAUAACUUCAGGAAACUGGGGCUAAUACCGGAUAGGAUCUCCUGCUGCAUGGUGGGGGUUGGAAAGUUUCGGCGGUUGGGGAUGGACUCGCGGCUUAUCAGCUUGUUGGUGGGGUAGUGGCUUACCAAGGCUUUGACGGGUAGCCGGCCUGAGAGGGUGACCGGCCACAUUGGGACUGAGAUACGGCCCAGACUCCUACGGGAGGCAGCAGUGGGGAAUAUUGCACAAUGGGCGGAAGCCUGAUGCAGCAACGCCGCGUGCGGGAUGACGGCCUUCGGGUUGUAAACCGCUUUCGCCUGUGACGAAGCGUGAGUGACGGUAAUGGGUAAAGAAGCACCGGCUAACUACGUG